UGGACGGCUCCGAUCAGAACAUUUAUCUGGGAACUCUCUAAAAAUGUUGGAUCUGCCAGAAUGGCAAGAUCCGGUGGACGGUAGCUUUCCGGCCAAUUUAGGCAAAACGUAAGCUGCGGUUUCUAGCUGAAGGCCUGCGGAAGUUGACCAACGGGAAUUGGGGCUGCCUUUAUGCAACAGUGUAUGAAGCCGCGCUCGACAUGUGAAACAGCUUUCGUUCGGGCAUCCACAGACAUCUGGAGAAAACGCUGGCAUAAGCGCACCGGAUGACUUCCUUUUGAGCACAGAUCGCAAUUCUUUGGUUUUGUGACCACCCUACCUUCGAAGGAGUUGAGCUUCCUGGAAACAGUUUGACUCUUGCGUUAGAGUGAUUGCUGGUACUGGGUUGCAUAUCCUCAAUCGCCUAUAACGUUCGGUAUCGGUAGCUAAGAAACGUGUUCAUUUGAAAAGGGACUGCUUCCAUAAGGAGAGGGGCAGUUUUAUUAAUCUACAGGCGCACAGGAAUACCACGAGAAUGGAAUGUUGGAAAGAGCCAGCGCUAUCAAACACCCUUGUAUUGUGCUCUGUAGGUCUUUCAGAGCCUGGCCAGAUUCAGAUCUUAAGGAACUUAAAUUAAAAAGGAUUUUGAGUUGGCUGUUUACCAGCAGUUUCUUAUUUUCGAAGCGGUCUCUAAGAGCUGCCUAUGCUGAAUCGAAACCCUCAUAUGCGAGAGGGGACUUGACUGCGAUUGACUGAUUAGCCUCGCCGCUAGCUUUAGCGUUGAGAUAAAAACGUUUUUUGACCGAUAUCAACCUAGAAUUGUUGACAUAAGCUGCUGUAAAAAGAUCCCUAAAUGUUGGCCAUUUCAGAUAGAGGACUAUCUGUUCGAAUACAUCAGUAUCGUAUGGAGGUACCCGGCACCCAUACGGAAUGUAAGUGGACUGUUUAUUGGAGUUUCAAUCGUCGCUCUGAAAUGGCUCAAAUGGUCGGACACCGUGAUGAACCGUGCGAGGACUGCAAUUGCGAUUUCAUUACUCAUUUUUGUCUGAGAACGGGUUGCUGGUGACUUUACGGAGAGACGAUCGUGUCUGAUUGCUCGUAGGAACAGACAGCUUCUUGUCGUCUCCUUGGGUGGCUAAGGAAGUUUCGCUAUUUGCCUUUGCGAUCGACUUUGGGUCUUCUGGGCUUGCUGUGCGCGAGCUAUUUUUGAUGAUGGUAGCAUUAAGCGUAACUCUUUCGUCAGUGUGCAGUUGAACUAUUGAGGAGUGGGAGAUACUAAGCGCCUGCUACUAUCCCUAACUUGGC